rnacentral:rRNA from 1 species
CCUACGGGAGGCAGCAGUGAGGAAUAUUGGUCAAUGGGCGGGAGUCUGAACCAGCCAAGCCGCGUGAGGGAAGAAGGUACAGCGUAUCGUAAACCUCUUUUGUCAGGGAACAAAGGCGGGGACUAGUCCCCGGAUGAGGGUAGCUGAAGAAAAAGCAUCGGCUAACUCGGUGCCAGAAGCCGCAGUAAUACGGGGGAUGAGAGCGUUCUCCGGAUUUAUGGGGUUUAAGGGGUGCGCAGGCGGCCUGUUAAGUCAGCGGUAAAAGCCCGGGGCUCAACCCCGGCGAGCCGUUGAAACUGGCGGGCUGGAGUUGGAGAGAAGUGCACGGAAUGCGCGGUGUAGCGGUGGAAUGCGUAGAUAUCGCGCAGAACCCCGAUUGCGAAGGCGGCGUACCGGCUCCACACUGACGCUGAGGCACGAAAGCGUGGGUAUCGAACAGGAUUAGAUACCCCAGUAGUC